rnacentral:rRNA from 1 species
AAUGAACGUUGGCGGCAUGGAUUAGGCAUGCAAGUCGAGCGAGAAGAGUUUUGAAGCUUGCUUUAGAACUCGGACAGCGGCGAAAGGGAGAGUAACGCGUAGUUAUGUGCCCUAGGGUCCGGAAUAGCCACGGGAAACUGUGGGUAAUGCCGGAUAAUAUCCCCGGAUCAAAGGUGUGAUUCCGCCCUAGGAGCAGACUGCGUCCUGCUAGCUAGUUGGUGGGGUAAUGGCCUACCAAGGCAACGAUGGGUAGCGGGUGUGAGAGCAUGACCCGUCUCACUGGGACUGAGACACUGCCCAGACACCUACGGGUGGCUGCAGUCGAGAAUCUUCGGCAAUGGGCGAAAGCCUGACCGAGCGAUGCCGCGUGCGGGAUGGAGGCCCUCGGGUUGUAAACCGCUGUCGUAGGGGAGGAAGGUUCCGUGAAGAGCGGAAUUUGACCUAUCCUAGGAGGAAGUACGGGCUAAGUUCGUGCCAGCAGCCGCAGUAA